GGAGGGGUGGCAGAGCGGUCGAAUGCGCCGGUCUUGAAAACCGGUGGACCGAAAGGUCUCGUGGGUUCGAAUCCCACCCCCUCCGCCA
rnacentral:tRNA from 1 species